ensembl:lncRNA
GGCAGGUGAGGCAGGUGAGGCUUGGGUAAGGUGACCCUGAGCCCGGGGGCCUCCUGGACUGACGAGAGCCCGGGCCUGGGGAAGGUGCUGGCCCCACACGCUGGAGGGCACAGGACAAGGACACGGUAGGCCCGGCCUGAGCCACCGCCCUCGGGUGCAGCACCUGGUGUGUGAGGCCUGGCACUGAAUUGCGCCUGCGCCUCCAAAGCCUCACUCUUGCCUGGGGGCGGCUGCGCAGGAAGCCUAGACUCGCUUGUCACAAGGUGACGCGGCCUUUGGGCACCACUGCCCGGGUCCUGAAUGCGAUGCUGCCCUUUGUGUCACUAAUGCCAGGUGAGGCCCUGAUGCCAGGUGAGCAGGAGGACAAGGUAAGGAACCUGACACCCAGGCCUGGAGCUGUGAAGCGGCUCUGAGGUGACGUCUCCACGCUCACAUUUUUGGCCGAGUGUGACGGUCGUUUCCUGAACGUCAACAUCCGUUUUUCAGCCUGGACGAUGACCUCUUCAGAAAACAAUCUUGACAGCAAUAACGGCCGACCCUUUGUGGUGCACACCGUGGCCCAGCAGCCUUACCCAAGCUUCUGGUACCAGAAUCCUGCCUAUAAUCCGUUCUGCGUUCCCGGGGCAGGGUCCAGAAAUGGAAGCCUGUAUUUCCCAUGUUCAGUGGUGCCCAUUCUGGCACUACAGUGGCUAUGCAAGAAAAAUGAAAACACAAGAGACUCAAACUGAACUUCAGCAGGAGAAUAUGAGCAAAAAACAAGAUUUACACUCUAAAGGCAACAGCCGUGACAUAGGCAGGGUGACCAGUUUCUCUACUAACAGUGACAUAGAAAGUGACAACAUUCCCGAAGAAACAGAUGGGGCUUGGUCUUCGGUUGCUCAGAAGAGGGAACUACAUGCUAAGAGCUCUCCUAAUGAAACACUGUGUGGUGACACACCUCAAGGAAGCUAUGCAUCUGAGAACAAGAAAAUGAUGGAAGAGGGCAAAGGAUCUCUUGUAAUACAGUUCUGGAAGACUUUCCAAGAAACCGUGCAUUUGUAUGACCUGGUUUAUGGUAGAUCCAUGCCAGAGAAUGUGCAGCACAAUAGGAUUUCACGGAGUUCAUGUGAAAGUCUGGGUGUGCCCAGUAAUCCUCAGGAGGGUGAAGACCCCAUUUUGUAUAAAGGUGAACAAAUCGCUGUCGGGUCAGAGCAGUGUCAGGUUGUAAGACAUGAUGAGAUGUUAAAGUCAGGGUUAACCAUGGAGACGGAUAAAGAAAAGAAGGGACAUGUAGCUGUUCCCCAAAUCCUGCCACCUCCAGAUGAAGUGAAAGACGGAGUUGAGAUCCAUAAUACUCUGAACUCAGACUUGUAUCCAUCUUCUGGAGAUGUCACCACAUGUCACGAAAGGCCACUGUGCAUCAGCAUGGAAGCAGUCAAGGACCUGAGCCUACAAUCUAGAUCCCAGAAGACCCUUGUUGGGGAAAGAAAGCCAGACAACAGUAGGGGGAGCCAUGGCUUCCCUGAGAAAGUAGAUGAAGAGGAAGUGGGAGAGCAGAACAGUUACUCCCAGGGGGCCGUUCCCUCAGCUGCCUGGUUGGCCCAGUUUGAGAAAGUUGAUGAAGCCAUCCAGUGUGAUAGUUGCUGGUGGCAGGAUGCAGAACUGGAGAGGUGCCUUGAAUCAUCAACAGAAGGGAGUGGAAAGGGAACAGGGAGAGAUUCAAGGCCUUGAGCUUUAUCCUGAAGAUGAAAACUUAAAGAUAUUGGUAAUGAUUCUGUGUAUAAGGUAUCUUGAGUCUCUUAUACAACCAAUUUAAGGAGAUGUAUUAUUCCAUCACUAUUUCAUAGGAAACUAUUUUCUGAGUUCCAGUUACAAAGAAUAGCUAAAUAUUACAAUGUCAUGUUUGGUUUAGAACAUUGAUUUUUCUCUUGAUUUGAACUAAUACAGCUAUUAUACAAAAACCAAGUUAAGAAAAUGUGACAUUGUAAAGC